CUGAAGGAAGAAGGAGCCCUACCAGACCUCAUCAAAAGGGUCUGGUCUGGUCCGGGCAGUAGGGUGGCUCCGUGGAGAGAGCCAGGCCUGGAGAGGGGGUCCUGGGUUCCAGUGUGCCUUCAGAGCCUUCCCAGCUGGGUGAGCCUGGGCAAGUCACUUAAACCCUCUACCCCUUCUGCCUUGGAACCAACACCCAGUAUUGAGUCUAAGAUGGAAGGGAAGGGUUUAACAAAGAACAACAACCCGUCUGGUCCCAGCUAAGCAAUAGAGCAGGGGGCCAGUGCAGUACCGUAGGUCCAAGCACAGCCGUACAUGGCUGUCGUCAGCCAGUGUUGGGCAAGCCCAGAGAGCCCCUGCUUGGCAGAAACUCCUGGGAAAGCCAAGAAACGGCUAGAGCAGCAUCUCGCCGCACAGCGCGUGCCAAGGCACGGUGACAUCGGGCUCCCGACUCCACGGGAUGUAAAUGGAUCAUUUUGAGUAAGCCCAGGGUCUUCCACAGAGCCCUGUGGCCAAGGUGACAAGGAAGCAGGGAGGGCAGGUCAACGGAUAGGAAUAUGGACAAAUGGGCAAAGGAUAGGAAUAGCCAGUAAACUCCAAGUCACUCUAGAUUAGAGAAAUGCAAAUGAAAACAACUCCUUGAGGAAGUGCCUCCUCAGAAGGAGGCACUGAUACAUCGUUGGUGGAGUUGUAAAGUGGCCCAGCUGUCCAAAGGGCCCUAAAGGUCUGGCUGGGGGGAGACCCGUUUGUUUGUACACAAGCACUGCCCGCAGCUCUUCGUGGUAAUGGAGGGCACAGGAUGGUGCGGGCUAUUUCUGGGCCAGUUUUAGAAAACCCUGGAAAGAGCUGCGGGACCUGAUGCGGAGAGGAGUGAGCAACAAGGUGGUGCUGAAGGACUUUGAGGGAGAACGGUGGCAAUUUGAGACUGCAGAAGCUCCUUUUCCAACUUGUCUCUUUUUCUUUCUGCUCCCCCCUUGCUUGCCCCACGCUCAUCUGGACGGAGGGUUGGCGUGACUGCGCCACUCUAACCUGGGUCAAAUGGCCGGCCUUGGCAAGGAAGGGGGAGUGGGAGGAGGGAGAGAGAACAUUUAGAAUUCCAAAGUGUAAAGAAAAGGGUUACCACGUAAUUGAGGGGACAGAAACUAAACAAGAAAAAAAAAGAAAACCCUCAUCUAAACAACCAGAAAGAUUUGGCCUCCCACGGGCUGCCCAGCCUGGCAAUUGCCAGGGUUAAAGGGGUUCCCAGUGACCACAAAGAGAAUUGUGAAGUGUGCACAUGGGGGGCACUAAGAGCAGCCCUUGGGGGGGCACCCCCGGGGGCGAGGCCCCGUUUUCAUUUGCUCACCUUUGGGGAUUUGUGGAUGUACUCGGAGGCAUUCAAAUCAGCUGCUCUUAGCCACCCCUCCGCACGCUGUGCUUGUAAGGGGCUUCCUGGCCACCCCACUCUCGGUGGAAUUUCCUGGUGCUCCUAGUGUCUCUGAGGGAAACUGAGGCUGGCCCCUCGCUGCUGCGGAGGAUGUUUUCUCUACUAUAACCCGCCAGCGGCGGUUAUAAAAAGAAUUUUCCUUUGUGGGUUGGGGCUCGAGAAGGAGAGACACGCAGGCGUGAUCCCUGCCAGAAGUGAGAUAGAAAGCGCGGGCCGAGGGAGGCCUUAGGAAAGGGAGACUGGUGAGAACUAGAGGACCACUUUAUUGGCGAUUGCCAGGCUCAAUGGAUCCCUAGAUAAUUCCCAUUGGACGGGAAGGUGCUGGUGACACCUGGGCGCUUUCACAAAGGAAUUUGGCUCGCUCAAGAGUCGGCCCACAAGCAUCCGGGUUCAAACCUGUGUCUGAUGACCCGAUGACCGCCCGCCAACACGCUGGGGUGCUGCAUCUCCUUUGGCGCUUUCAGAGGACAGGCCCGACGUGGCUUCCUGGGACCUCUUAGCAACAUGGGGAUCCAGAAGGCACUUCUUCCUAACCUGUGGCUGCACCAGGAUGUCCUGGGGCCGCAGACAUUCCCUGGCUGUGUGACCCUACCCAAGUCACUUCACCUCCCUUGGCCUCCGGUUCUUCAGCUGGUAAGAGCCUCUUCCGUCUCGGGAGGAACCGGAUGAGAGGAGUCUUGGAGGAAGUGGGGAGGGAGCGGCAGGGCGGAGGGUCCCCAGCACAAGCCCCAGGCUGAGGCCAGAGCCUGCGGGAAGGGAAGGGCAGCCCCAGCUCCCUCAGCCACAAAGGGGAGUUAUUCUGGUGGAGGCGGCAGAGCGACCUUCACCUUCCCUCUUGGAAGCAAUGCUAGGUGUCCCAGGUUCCCAGGCAGAAGAGCCAGCCGGCAGGGCUGGGCAAUGGCAGUUCAGUGACUUGCCCAGGGUCACCCCGCCAGGAAGUGUCUGAGGCCAGAUUGGCCGAGUUCAAAUGGGGCACAGACACUUCCUGGGCACCCCGGCCUCCUGGGCCCUCCCCCUCCCCGGAGCCUGUGGGAAGCACUGGGGCUUUGCUGGGGGCGGGGCCGGGCCGCAGUGCGGGCAGAGGCUGGGCCCCGCCCCCAGCGGAGGAGCGAGGCUGCGGGCGAAACUGACCAGGGAGGGCGGAGGAUGGGCCAGCUGGGCUGCCGGGCCCUGUGCCUCGGCCUGCUCGACUACAAGACGGAGAAGUACGUCGUGGUCAAGAACAAGAAGGUGGGGCUCCUCUACCGGCUCCUGCAGCUCGCCAUCCUGCUCUACCUGCUGGGGUGAGUCCGCCGGGCUGCUGCCGCUGCUCCCCGCCCCCUCUGCCGGCGUCCCCCUCCCCCCAGCAUUGUUGACAGGAGCCCUUGCUCGUCCAGCGCCUGCCCUCCCCCGCUGGGGCUCUCCCUCCUCCUCCCUGCACAUUGGAGGAGGGGCGCUGAGCUGGGGGCGGGGCCUGCUGCAGCCCACUGAACCGCACUACUCUGCAGUGUGUGAGGGGCUGCUCGGUCGGGAGGGCAGCAGCAGGGGACCCGAUGGCUGGCCCUGGCCUCCGCCCCAAGAGUUCCUGAGCCCCCUCUGCUGUGCCUCAGCUAGGUGGGGAGAACGGAAAGGCCUGAAUUCGAAUCCUGCCUCAGAUUGCUCCUCUGCCUUGUAGGGUUGGUCUCAGGGUCAGAUUUAGAAAGUGUUUUGCUAACUCUUCUUACUGUGGCUGCCCCCCACCCCUACUUGCCCUGCUGCAGCACCCGCCCCCUCUUGAUCCCGGUGGCGGGAGGGCUCUGAGAGCAGAGCAGUCAGUUCUUGGCCUGGAAGUCGGCCAUCCAUCUGCUCCCACGUGCCUCCCUCCUGCCAUCUUGGAAUCUCAGAAUGAAUGGUGCCCAGGGGCUCCGGGCCUCCAAACACCCGCCUGCAGAGACAGGGAGCUCAUUACCUACACAGUGGUGGUGAUGAAAUCCGGACUUCGUGCCUUUUGGGAUAGGAUUGGGUGACUGCGGCUCUGUGGAUGGAGGCAGAGCCUGGUGGGGGCACCUUUCCUGAAGAGUGGGGGGGGGGGUGUCCACCCUGCUGGAGCAGAUUCCAGUCUCUACCAAGAGCCCAACUGACAAAUGGUGGCACGUGGACUCGAGCCAGAGGCUUUCCAGACCUCACGAAUGAUGUUCCCUCUCCAUGAAUGUGUACUCGGGGAAGAUUCUUGGGUUCGAAUCUUCCUGCCAAGGGUUCUUUCUGAAAGCUAAUUAAGUCAGGUUGAGGGGAGACAAACAUCCCCUUAGGCAAAAAGCUGGGGGGUGGAAGUGGGGGCAUGAGACAAGCCAGGCCCAGCCUGAUCAGGGUCACCACUACAGCCGGGCCUCAGAGCAGAGGCCAGGCAGUGCCCAGGGCCUUGGGCCUGGCAUUGCAGGCGAGUUUGAGGCUGGCACAGAUCGGCGGCAGGCCACCGUAGAUUGCCCCUCUGGGUGCCAAAGCACCACAAGCCCAGAGGAGGGCUCAGAAUAGCCUGCAAGGUGGUCCAGCAGAGUUCCUGACCAAAUGGGGAAGUCAAGGCAGGCUUGCCAAGCAAAGUUCUGUUUGAUUCCUGGAAGCACUCACUUCCCACCAAUGAAGCAGCCAAAACCUCUGACCUGGGGGUGCGUCCAAGAAUGGCACAAAGGCGACGCCAAUAGCUCGGGCGUUAGGAGCGCCCCGGAUUUGGGGAAUCGGAGGUUGGUUAUGUUGAAGAUCCUGAAUGCUGUGAGAAUCUCUGGGGUCCUGUGGCACCCUGAGGCCAAGUCACUGGGGGCGCCUGGGCAUGAGCUGAGGCACCUCAGGAUCCACCAGGGUCAACUGCAUUCAACCACAGAGGAGGCUGAACUUUGGAAUCUGUGAGCCAGGGGGCUGGCUUGGUCCUGCCCACUGAGAAAAACCCAGGCCUCAAGCAUAAAGGAGCGAUUGCUCCCUCCCCCCCUCCCUUUGUCCCUUCUCUUUCUUCCCCCCCCUCACCUUCUGCCUUAGAAUCAGCAUUGGUUCCAAGGCAGAAGAGCGGUAAGGGCUUGGCAAUGGGGAUUAAGGGACUUGUUCAGGGGCACACAGCUGGGAAGUGGCUGAGGCCAGAUUUGAACCCAGGACCUCCCUUCUCUAGGCCUGGCUCUCCAUUCACUGAGCCACCCAGCCACCCCCCAAAAGAUGAUUUCUUAAAAGGGAAAGUACAGACCUGUCAAGUUAUUUGCAGAUCACAGAACAGGAUAAGAGAGCUGAGGUUGGAAAAUGGACAUGGUGGUAUCAGGAGUAUUUUGUCUGACCUGUUAGGUGAAAUGCAGAAUGUGGUUCCAGAGUACAAUCCUGUGCAGAGGGGAGUAUUCUGAAUAGAACACCAGAAUCAAAGCUGAUAAGCCGAGUCAAUUCCUACUUCUUCUAGCAACACCCUUGGGGCCAGCUGACUUUGAAGCGAGUUCGAGGGCAAAGGGCCAUGCCACAAGCAGUUAUAGGACAACAUCGAUUACUUGUAAAUGGGAUCCAGGGGACAGGAUCAAUUGUCAGCUGCUGAAAACCACAGGCAGUGAGCUUGGCUUUGAUUCUUGCAGAAUUCUGAGCAUAGUCACGGACGUGGGGCUUCAUCUGGAACGGGCUGUGCCCUGCUAACCUCACAGCCUUCUGGGACAGGAUUAGUAACCUGCACCCUGUGGGAAGGCCAAAGCUAAGCACUCCGAAAGGUCGCUCACACUCUCCCUGUGGCCCCUCUGGAGUGAGUGAUGGUGCCCAGGCAAUAGCACAUUUUGGUGACUUUCAAGCUGCUCCAAGGGCUCAAGGCAAUAUCAGCUGCUGGCUGCUGGGCUCCCUGGGAUGGGAAUGCUGAAGAAUAAACAGCCUGAGGCUAGGCAAGGGCCAGCGAGGCUCCCUUUAUUAUGACAAAGAGGCAAACAUGAUGAGAUUAGAUCCGUCUGGCUAUUGUGCAACAGGACAGAAAGGCUUUUUGCUGAGGGAGGGCUGGCACCAGAGGUCUGGAUCUUCCCCAGAGACAGAACAAACACCCUCCUUGAAUAUGUCCCAGAUGCCGGCCCAGCUCAGCUUGGGGCUCCUUUUUCCUUGGGUCAGACCUAACAUCUCUGAUGCCAUCCGUCAGCCAGUUGGGAAGGAAGUCUCUUCCGAGGCUCCGGACUUAACUCAAGGCUGGUUCAUAGACACUCUGGUGGCCUGCUGCUGGACCUCGCAUCUGACACCAAGGGGGGGGCGGGGACAGAAUGGAGAAUGGAGGCAGGAGCCCAGAAGAUGGCAAUGGGCUUUGGGCUGGAUUGAGUAAGGCUUCAAGGUAGGCCCCCUCCUUGGGCCUCAGCAGUCACCUGGUCAAAGAGGAACCCCUCAGAAAAAGAUCUGGGGGUCUUAGCGGACUCCUGGCCACUAGUGUGGAUCUAGCCCUCACAAGUAUGAUGGUAUCUGAUCCUCAGAGCGGUGCUGUAAGGUAGGUGCUCUAAAUGUCACCUUUGACAGAGGAGGAAACUGAGGCAGACAGAGGGCCUUGAGCCAGCUGUACACCAGAGCCCCGGGCAGGGGUCAGGAAAGGGCGGGUGAGCCGAAGGGCGCCCAGGGCCUUGCUCUGCGCCUCCGAGGGGGAGGGGCAGGAAGCCAUCCGGAGUCGUGCUGGCCGCAGGUGGGUGUUCCUGGAGAAGAAAGGCUACCAGGUGGUGGACGCCGCGGUGCAGAGCUCCGUCAUCACCAAGGUCAAGGGCGUCGCGUUCACCAACACUUCGGAGCUGAGGGAGAAGAUCUGGGAUGAGGCAGAUUACGUCAUGCCCUCCCAGCCUGAUCGUGACUCCGAGGCAGCGGCAGACCACAUGUGCUGAGAGCCCCCACGUCCCCCACGCCGUGUGCUCCCAGGACAGCGACUGCCCCCGAGGAGAAGCUGUUCUUGGAGGGCACGGAGUGAGGACCGGCCGCUGCGUGAGAGCGGGCAGCAAGGGCAGGGGCACCUGUGAGAUCUCCGCCUGGUGCCCAGUGGAGGGGCGGCGCCGCCCUGAAAAGCUGCUUCUGGAGAAGGCCGCAGACUUCACCGUCUACAUCAAGAACUCCAUCCGCUUCCCCCAGUUCAACUUCUCCAAGGCGCUGGCCAGUCAGGAGGGGAACUCGCUCGGGCCUUUCCCAAGUCUCCGCUGCCCUGCUGUCGCCCGCAGAUCCAACGUGCGGGACACCAAAGACAAGUCCUUCCUCAAGUCCUGCCACUUCGGCCCCCACAACCACUACUGCCCCAUCUUCCGGCUGGGCAGCCUGGUCCAUGCUGCGGGCCACGACUUUCGGGAAAUGGCCCUGGAGGGCGGGGUGAUAGGGAUCCGGAUCGAGUGGGACUGUGACCUGGACCAGGCGCCCUCGGCCUGCAGGCCCCGGUACUCCUUCAGCCGCCUGGACGGGGCGAGGGCGGCGGCCUCGGGAUACAACUUCCGAUACGCCAAGUACUACCAAGAUGCUGACGGGGUGGAGUUCCGCACCCUCACGAAGGUCUACGGCAUCCGCUUCGACGUGCUGGUGUCCGGCAAGGCCGGGAAGUUCAGCAUCGUCCCGACGUUGGUCAACGUGGGCUCUGGCGUGGCCCUGAUGAGGGCCGUGAGUAGCCGCGCUCUUCCUCUCCCACGCGCCCACCCGUCUGACCUCCCCCUCCCCAGGCCAGGCCCCCAGCCCCAAGUCCUGAGGGCCGGGAGCAGCUUCCUCCCCUGGGCGCCCCUCUCGCCGGCCUCGGGGAUCCCCCCAGAGCCCCCCGUGACCGGCGGGCUGUUUUCCAGGUCGUUUUCUUCUGUGACUUAGUGCUCAUCUACCUGAUCAAAAAAAGCCACUUCUACCGGGAGAAGAAGUACGAGGACGUGGGGCCGACCUCGAGAAGGCUCCUGGCGGAGGAGCGGGCCUCGGCCUCUGGGCGGGGGCUGCCGGAGACCGCAGCGGGGCCUCCCUC